rnacentral:rRNA from 1 species
AUUGAACGCUGGCGGCAGGCUUAACGCAUGCAAGUCGAGCGGUAACAGAGAGAAGCUUGCUUCUCUGCUGACGAGCGGCGGACGGGUGAGUAAUGCCUAGGAAUCUGCCUAGUAGUGGGGGAUAACUUGCCGAAAGGUAAGCUAAUACCGCAUACGUCCUACGGGAGAAAGGAGGGGACCUUCGGGCCUUUCGCUAUUAGAUGAGCCUAGGUCGGAUUAGUUAGUUGGUGAGGUAAUGGCUCACCAAGACCGCGAUCCGUAACUGGUCUGAGAGGAUGAUCAGUCACACUGGAACUGAGACACGGUCCAGACUCCUACGGGAGGCAGCAGUGGGGAAUAUUGGACAAUGGGGGGAACCCUGAUCCAGCCAUGCCGCGUGUGUGAAGAAGGUCUUAGGAUUGUAAAGCACUUUAAGUGGGGAGGAAGAGCAGUUAACUAAUAUUUGACUGUUUUGACGUUACCGACAGAAUAAGCGCCGGCUAACUUCGUGCCAGCAGCCGCCGUAA